rnacentral:rRNA from 1 species
UACGUAGGGUGCGAGCGUUGUCCGGAAUUAUUGGGCGUAAAGAGCUCGUAGGCGGUUUGUCGCGUCUGCUGUGAAAGUCCGAGGCUCAACCUCGGAUCUGCAGUGGGUACGGGCAGACUAGAGUGUGGUAGGGGAGACUGGAAUUCCUGGUGUAGCGGUGGAAUGCGCAGAUAUCAGGAGGAACACCAAUGGCGAAGGCAGGUCUCUGGGCCACAACUGACGCUGAGACGCGAAAGCGUGGGGAGCAAACAGG